AGAGGUUUCCACACUCUUAUAAGAAAUGUUUCAUUCUCCUGUCCAACUGAUGUGGGAUCUCACAAUCCACCCCCUUUGAGAGAGCCCAACGUUCUCACUGACACACAACCUAGUGUCUAGCUCUAAUACAAUUUGUCAAAACCAAAGCCCACUGCUAGUAG